AACGAACGCUGGCGGCAUGCCUAACACAUGCAAGUCGAACGAGACCUUCGGGUCUUGUGGCGCACGGGUGCGUAACGCGUGGGAACCUGCCCUUAGGUUCGGAAUAACUCCCCGAAAGGGGUGCUAAUACCGGAUAAUGUCUUCGGACCAAAGAUUUAUCGCCUUUGGAUGGGCCCGCGUUGGAUUAGCUAGUUGGUAGGGUAAAAGCCUACCAAGGCGACGAUCCAUAGCUGGUCUGAGAGAAUGAUCAGCCACACUGGGACUGAGACACGGCCGAGACUCCUACGGGAGGCAGCAGUGGGGAAUAUUGGACAAUGGGCGAAAGCCUGAUCCAGCAAUGCCGCGUGAGUGAUGAAGGCCUUAGGGUUGUAAAGCUCUUUUACCCGGGAUGAUAAUGACAGUACCGGGAGAAUAAGCUCCGGCUAACUCCGUG
rnacentral:rRNA from 1 species